UUCUCCGCGCCCUCCCAUUUUUCUCCUCUGUUCGACGGCCAGAACCGUCGUCCCGUCGUCCCCCUUGAUCCCGCGCCCUCCCGUCGUCCUCCUCGACAUCUUCGUCCCGUCGUCCUCCUCGACGUUUCGUCGUCACCUCCCCCUCAGCUCCUCGACGUCCUCCUCCGACAUCAUCAUCCCGUCGUCACCUCCCCCUAAGCCCCUCAGCUCCUCGCUGUCCCGUCGUCCUCCUUGACGUUUCCUCGUCAUCCUCCUUCGACAUCGCCGUCCAAGAGUGCACCCUUAGGCCAAAAAAUUUAUUCCCAAAAUUCGUUCCCCCGCCUAAAUUCACAAACUCAGAAAUAAAACCCCCAAAACUUUUAUCCCCCUUCAAACCCUCUCUAAACUUCUUUUUCUCUCUAAAAAUCCCUCUCACUGUAAACCCACUUCGUCUUCCCCCUCAAAUCUCUCGAAAUUUCCCAGUUUUAAGGGAUUCAGUUCGAGAAUGGACUCUAUGAUUGUAAGCAAGUCUGCGUGCUCGGCUCUGUAUUUGCACAAGAAAGCUUCAGAAUAUGACAUUGGGAUCUAUUUUGAAGCAAAUGGUCAUGGAACAAUUCUAUUUUCAGAAGAUUUUAUAUCUAUCCUACAUGAUGUGGAGAAAGAGCUUGCUUCUUGUCCAGAUCACAUGGCAUGGGAACAAUUUGAUACACCCGGUGAAAAAGCUCCAAACUCAUUAUACAGAGAAACAUGACUUAUGUAAACAUUGAGAUGAAGUGCCUGGUUCAAACACCAAAUAUUAGUAGAGAGUGUUACUAAUAAUACUUUUCAAGCACGGCAGCUACAUUGGAGGAUAUUUCAAGUGCUGAAUGGGUGGUUUUGGCACAGUAUAUAACGUACAGUGGUUAUAUGGCGCCUGAAUAUGCAGCGUGGGCAUUUUUUGAUGAAGUUGGACGUAUACAGCUUUGGGAUUCUAGUUCUCGAGAGUAUGACUGGAAAUAGGAGUAACAGCUUCCAGUAUGAUUCUGAAAUUUCUCCAGACAUAGUAAGCUAUGUGAGUAUGCAUUGUAAGCCUUUGUCAGCUACAUUACUACUUAAAAUUAGUUUUAGAACAAUCUGUAUAAAUUAAUGAGUCAGCUGAGCUAAAAAUAAAUAAACAAUCUCUAGAAAGGUUUCAUUGUCUGGGGAUGUUUACUGACAAAUGUCUAUUUGCAAGAUUACUAUGUCAAUAUACAAGCAAAGGUAUUAAACUGCAGUUUAGACACAUCAACAGUAGCAGCGGAAAAAGAAAAAAGUAUCACUCUCACACAUGCUGGUCGGAGGCUCUAUUCAGAGAAACAAUUGAAAUGGCAUGAAUCAAGAGUAGGCAGUUCAUGAGCCUGGAGCUUCCGAUGCUGUGGAGGUUUCUGUGUUCCAAAAGUGUAGGCAGUUCGGACAUUUCACCCCCCACAAAGGAGAAUAAAUUGGAUUCUUAAUGUAUAUUUGAUUUUUCUCAUUGUCACGUGACUGAUUUUGUAAUGCUAAUACAGCCAUAAUGAUGCUACUUGCUGUAUUUUUUGUGAACAUGUAUCAUUCAGAUUGCGUGUUCGUUUGCAAA